CACUGGUCGAGUGAUCCUGCGCCGAAGAUUUCCGGGGCUAAAACUUACUACCGAAGCUACGGCAUCAGUAAUGAUGGGUAGGGGAGCUUCCCAUACGGGUUGAAGCAUGACCGUAAGGACAUGUGGACAGUAUGGGAGUGAGAAUGUUGGCAUGAGUAGCGAGAUGUGGGUGAGAAUCCCACAGGCCGUAAACCCAAGGUUUCCAGGGGAAGGUUCGUCCGCCCUGGGUUAGUCGGGACCUAAGCUGAGGCCGAAAGGCGUAGGUGAUGGACAACAGGUUGAUAUUCCUGUACUACCGAUAACCGUUUGAGAGAAGGGAUGACACAGUAGGAUAAGCUAAGCACACUGUUGGUUAU
rnacentral:rRNA from 1 species